CAACCCAUCUAUAAAUUGUGCAAAACUUUUUACUUAAAAAAAAUCUCCCUCUCGCCAACAGGGGGUGCUGCAGCACCCGCAGCACCCCCACUUCCCGCGGCCAUGAUCCUUGGUGCAAAAUAGAAAUUAAAAUGUAAUACUUUAAUUUACAUUUUCCAUUUUCUACAGCCCUGUUUUAAAUACAUAUUUUAGUGCUUUAGAAGUUGCAAAAUUAAAAUGGAAAUGUAUUACCCGAACUGAUAUAAUGUGAUUCACAUUGUCAAGCAAAAACUGUAGCAAAAUUAUCAUUUAAAUGUAAAUUUCCCUAAAUGCAUUUACAUUUACGGGUGGGAAACUUGGGAUUGCAUUUUCAUUUACAUAGCGCGCAAGGGAUGUAGCAAAAUUCAAUUGAAAAUGCAUUCCGAGUUGACCACGCCCCCGCCCUGUGAAUCACUGCGUCAAGGCGGGUCCAACAACUCCCAUAGCCUGGCCUCUCACGUGGGAAACAUGGCGGCAGCAGGGCUGAUUGAGAGUGUUAUAUUCGCUGACCAAAGCAUAAACAGAGAAAUAUUAGUAUUUAUGGAGAUUAUUACGUGUCUGUAGGUAGGGAUGUCCGAGUCAUUUGAUUUUGAGUAUCUGCCGAUACCGAGUCCCGAUCCGAUACUUCUAUAAUACAUAAAAAAGAAUAAAUAAGAGCGAAAAAACAGAACCAGGAUGUUCCUUAUGUCAUGCCGCACGCGUUGCUGUUUCUGUGUGGAGUCAAAAGAGUCUAACUCUGUGCCAGCGCAUAACUAUAGAUGUCACAGGUGAUGGUUUGAACCAACGACGGGCGGAACCCGUCUUCCACAUCCUUGGUUGAACCGACGACGGGCGGAACCCGUCUUCCACAUUUCAUUUCCGGGGUUUCCCCGAAGUCAAAAUUAAGCCUGAUUGCGCGCAGGUGGGGAUAAUUUGCACAGCGGUCGCUGAUAGGCUGACGAGGAGAAGAGUCAGUGCAUAAAAAGACCUUUGGAGACAUCAAACGGGGUGCUUGUGGUGUACUUUGUAUACGUUGUGUUGCUGCUUUGCAGACGGACCACGCUGGCUGGAUCGUGUAUCUGGGGAAAAGAGGAAGAGGGACAGUCAGUUGACGAAGGAAUAUUGAGGGAUUUCAUCAGAGAAAGAGUGGACACAGAGCUAUCAAGAGUGUAGCUAAUAACAGUUGUUGACAACUAAGCGUGAGUAACAGCUGUGGUAAUUAUCUGUGCAAUACUUGUACGAAGAGUUGUUUGGUGUGUUCCUUUGUGUUUUUGAGGUCCCUGGCCCCACUGGAGAGGAGAGCGUGGGCGAGCCGCGGGUUGACCGGAAGCACGGACGAAGCAUCUGGUAGGAAGCACCAUUCACCAGCAGAAUAGUGGCCCUGUGGGAAAACGGAAGCACAGGUGAGCCAGAGGAGUGAUAAUCAACACACCGGGCCUGUAAAUAACACACAUCUCACCCUCAUUGGCGGUCCAGCUAUUGCCCAACCUUCCUCUCGAGGUCGUCGUAGCCAGGUGGCAAGGGCGAUUUAAAAACCACGUGAAGUGUAUAAGAGUGCUGUGGGUGAGUUUCACGGAUUGAUGGUGUUUACGUUUUACUUGCUGUGUGUAUGCUGUGCUUGUAGCGUUCAAACUGCCUAGCCUCCGACGAGUCACGAGACGACGACAUCUGUUGUGGCCUGGGUCCUAAGGAGAGCGAGAAAAUUGAGCCCUGUGCCCGGGGUGUGUUAACGAGAGCUUCGUUUGUCCAUAGAGCAGACAGUGGUGAAACCCAGUGAGUAUUACCAAGAAUGUACCGUGCGGACUGUGGGUUGUAGCGGUGUGUGUACUGACCUCUCCAACAGAAGCUCGUGGUGAGCGGAGCCCCGACGAGAGUUUGCCCCAACUCGUGACCCCGGUCGUGGAAGAAGGAGGGGGGAGUUUGGGAAGCGUUCGGCUCCGUGUCAUCGGACCCACUAGUCCCUACGACGCCCGGACAGCCUGAGUGGAUGGGCGAAGGAAUACGGUGCACCAACACUGUAGCGAAAAUCCACUGUUUGCAAGUAAAGCUCUGUGUGCAUGAAGAUCCCCAGUGCUCAAUUACCUACCUGUACCAGUGAAGCUGUGUGUGCAUGAAGAUCCCCAGUGCUGUGAGUACCGUAACCUGUGAAGUAAACCUGUUCUGUGCUUAUAGCAAUUACCAACCUGUACAAGUGAAGCUUUGUGUGUGGACGACGAUCCCCAGUGCUGUGAGUAACAUAACCUGUGAAGUAAAGCUGUUCUGUGCUUAUAGCAAUUACCUACCGGUACAAGUGAAGCGGUGUGUGCAUGAAGAUCCCCAGUACUGUGAGUAACAUAACCUGUGAAGUAAAGCUGUUCUGUGCUUAUAGCAAGUACCUACCUGUGCAAGGAAGCUCUGGGUGAGUGAAGAUCCCCAGUGCUGUGAGUAACGUAACCUGUGGAGUGAACUUGACCUGUGUCUAUAGCCAUCUCUUACCGUUCCAACGAAGGUCCCGUGUUGAACGAACAGCGACCAAUAGCAAAGUACCUUACCCCUGUCUGACUUUUGUUUGAUUCUGCCUCCAGGAGAAGCGGAGCGCGCCACGGAUUAUUGGGCCGGAGCCCCAAAGGAGCCCCUGUCCCCAGUCUUUCCCCCAAGUGGCCCUGGAGGCGAAGAAGAGACACACUAGUUUUAAAUUACCCUUUCCCCUUCCCCAUUUCCUUUUAAAUAUUUAAUAAAGCUUGUUUUAAUUAUAGUA